rnacentral:lncRNA from 1 species
CUUUUAUUCAUUUUUUAAAAUUUUAAAUUAACAGUUUAUGACUAUUUUUAGUAGCUGACGAUUUAAAUGCAACAGAAGGAAGGAUUAUUUAAUACAGUUUGUUCUCCCAAUUUUUCCUGGAGUUUAGAAAGCAAAUUAAAAAAACACAUGUUUAUAAUGUUUUUAAUUAAAUGUCAUCAAUAAAUUAAAAAUAAAAAUGUUAAAUAUGUAAAUUACAUGCAAACAUUGUGUUUUUUAAUGAUGAGGUCACUCACUUUUCUGUAAAAUUCCUGUUUUUCAUUCAUCACUUGUUCUUUUACCUGUUUUAGGGGAGUUAGUGCACGUCUGUGCACAGCGGCGUGCAGCACAGGGAAAAAAACUCCACAUUGGAAAUGAGGGACACUAUCUGGAAUUUGUUAACCUUUUUCCUCGUUGCUAAUUAGUGUGGAAAAGAAAAUUUAAAAACAACAUUUGUUCAGGCGGAAGGCUGAGGUUCAAUUACAGAGAACAACUGGCCGGCUGCAGUCUGCUCACCAGAACACAGCAGAUGUCAUCAGGAUAAAAAAAAACAAAACAAUCACACUCGACUCCUGAAAAGAGUGAAAAAGUGGAUUCAUUCUGACCUCAUUGUGUUUCUAUAAACUCUUUUAUAAUAUGACACUGAUGAAAACUGAUGAAAAGCUGCAACCAAACACCAACUGUUGUGUCAAAACACGCUUUGAUUCGACUCACAAAUACAAUUGUUGUUCCUUUCAAAGCAGAAUAGAAUGAACAGUAACAUUUGCAAACUCUGCUAACGCUCUCCGAGAGCUUUUUAAGAUGUGAAGUGAAGCAGAGAUACACGACUGGGAUUGGAUUUGCCAUCCUUCACGCCUGGUUUGGGCCGGCCUAAUUUAUCCUCUCAAGUGACAACACUAUCAGUCACUGGUUGGAGCUAAUGGGUGUCAUUUGUUAGGCUGUGGGAAGUCAGGAAAAAGCUUGAAAAAUAAACACAAACAAGAAACAAAUGAAAAAUGUUGCCAAUGUGUCAGGAGGAGCAUACAACGUCCUGCAUGUGGGUACCUGGAACGUGUCGGCUUUACCACACAAGACCGGACGCCAAAUCGAGACGGGCGUCCGAUUCUCUGGACUCUAUCAGCGCGUCUGUGAUGUGAAUGAUGAUGCCACCCUCCACCUCUGAUAAAACCUCACCACCCAUCUGAGAGGCUGCGAUUUAUUUCAUGGAGUGAACGUGUUACGAGGUUGAAUAAAAAAAAAAUAGAUGUGAAUUCUGAGUCU